GAGGGUAUAGCUCAAGCGAUAGAGCACGUGCUUGGCGUGCACGAGGUCCUGGGUUCAUCCCUGGUACCUUCA
rnacentral:tRNA from 1 species